UACAGAGGGUGCGAGCGUUGUCCGGAAUCACUGGGCGUAAAGGGCGCGUAGGCGGCUUCUCAAGCGUGCGGUGAAAGCUCGGGGCUUAACUCCGAGUCUGCCGUGCGAACUGGGAGGCUUGAGUCUGGUAGAGGUCGAUGGAAUUCCGGGUGUAGUGGUGAAAUGCGUAGAUAUCGGGAGGAACACCAGUGGCGAAGGCGACUACCUGGCCUGUUCUUGACGCUGAGGCGCGAAAGCUAGGGGAGCAAACGGG
rnacentral:rRNA from 1 species